AGUAUUUCAUUUUAAUGAUAUAGGGUUAUGGAGGAAAACAAGCAGUAAACAGGCAGCAUAAAGCUUACUUAGAUAUCUACAUCAAAAUGUUGGAAUAUAUUUGCAAUCUAUGCAAUCCUUAUUCCAGGCUCCUUUAGUACUGAUGACGGACAACUCCCGUCCUGAAAAGGAUGCUCUGAAAAAGAUAUGGCCCACAGCAGGAACAGCUCCUAUGCCAGUUUGAUGUGCUGCAAGCAGAAUGGCGCUGGCUAACUGCAACCGCUAACAAAGUCCCAAAGGAAGACCGAUGUCAGCUGAUGGCUGCCUUCCAAAUGAUACUGUAUGCAAAGGACCUGAGCCAGCUUCAGGCAGCAAAGGAGCACCUGCGCACUGUUGGUCAUGAAGCCUACAUCCGCCGAGUAGAGGCAUUUUUUGCUGUGAAAAGGAGUGGGUACAGAUGUACCGAACAAAUCUAGCGACAAGGGAGCACAACACAAAUAACUAUUCGGAAGCAUCAAUAAGAAUCCUAAAAGAUGUUGUCCUUUGCCGCACAAAAGCAUACAAUGCUGUUGCCUUGGUCGGAAAAGUAUUUUGAGACCAGGCUUCUGCGGCAUGCGCACCAUCGAGAAGUGUCACAUCGCCUCACGUUUGAGCACCUGCUGUAAGACCUGCCAGAGCUGCCCGCAGGGAGCAUCAGAAAAUCUGGCGAAACCUACUACGUGCCCAGCUCCUCAAGCACGGCGGCACACGAGGUACAAGCUGAUUUGGGCAUAUGCAGCUGUCGGGUAGGCAGCCAAGGUGCCUUCUGUAAGCACGAGGCUGCAGUGCAGAGGGCCUUCGGAGGGUGGUUCCCUAACAGCCCUAUGCUCACACCAGCAGAUUGCAAGCAGCUCGGGCAACUUGCACUAGGUGAGCGAUGCCCCCCACUGGAAUUCUAUUUGCCAAUGAGGCCAGCACAGCAAGGUGUCAACAUAGCGGAAAGUGACUCGGGUGCACCGUCACAAGAGCCAGGCCCAAGCACCGCUUCCAACUUCAGUCCACAGGCAGGGCCCAGCACUGCUCAUGACUACUGUCCAGAGCCAGGGCCAAGCACUGCUCCUGACUUCAGUGCACAACCAGAGGACACCGAAGAAAUGUACAGUGCAUUGGAAAGGCACUGAGAAAAAUGCACAAGCUUGCAGAAGGGAACGCCGCCUACAGAGUGUUGCUGAGGAGCUUUACCGAUGGAAUAGGAAAAGUUUCCAGCAGCAGUGGAGCAUACAGCAUGCUCCUGAGGCUAAAUGCUGCUGCUCGAGCAGAGAGAUGCCACGGAAAAAAAAUGUGGGUCCAGCCAACAGCCUUGGCAAGGCGCCAACCCGGUGUCACCAGAAAAUCUGCCCGAAUUCCUUCUGGUCGGCCAGCCAAAGCUGGCAAUGCAAGGAAAUCUAAAUGCAGGCACAAAUUAAGCGAUUCAGUUUGUGCGAAUGUGCUGGCAGCUAAGAUCCACUAAAGCUGACGGCAGCUAACAUAUCAGGUAUUUCUUUCUUAGCUGCACCAAAUCUUUAAAAAUUGCCUGUGGCAGAUAGCACAAUUUUAGCACUUGAACUAAGUUGAUGAGGCAGACAAUAAUCCCCGGACAAUCAAAUGUGCAAUCAACUAAUUAUCACAAUUUUGCUAAUUAGUUCUUUACUAAUUAUAGCACAUAUUGCAAUUUACAUAUUGCAACUAGCAAGUAUGCAAGGCAUAUCGACUGGGAGCAAAUUCUGAGGAUGGUAUCGGUCUGCGUUUUACGCUGUCAAACUAGUAAUUAGAACAGCCGUAUAUUUUGUCGAACACUUUAAAAAUGAAUGCCCCGAAAAUGGCAUCAUCCUGAGAGUUUGUGCCAAGUGGACACACCUUGCAAACUCACUGGCUACAAUUUGUAAAUUUCAACGUAUGCCGUGAACUAAAUUAAGCAAUUAGUGAUCUUUACAAAAUUAUUUAAGCAUUUACAUCAUUUGUAGCAGUAACGUCUGCCUCAUCGAGUAAUGUAGUUUAAGGGUUAGAAUUGUACUACAGUAUAGACCACUUAUAACGUAACCGCUUAUAGUGCAGGACCGGAUAUAGUGCAGCCUUUUCAGACUCCCGUUAAUUUUCCCAUAGCACUCCAUGUAUACACGUAUCGCUUGUAGUGCAGUUGCGGGAAACGAAAUACCGGUUACAGUGCGGCUGCCUGGGAGUACGGAAAUCAGCAGAGACGGCGAAAACUCCCCUCAAACGGGCGCCCCAAGGAGUGAUCGAGGAAGAAAGAGACGAAGUGGAGGAGAAGGGCACGUGGUGCGAACGAAAAGCCAGUGCGGCUGACACCAGAAUCUUGAGUGCGAGUCGAGUGCGAGCGAGGGCCACGAAACGGCCAACGCUCGCUUCACGAUAACGGCAGUAAACGAAACUUCAGCAACUUCAGCGAGCGAGCGGUUGGGCGGCGCCGGCACGGCGAAGGGCGCACUCAGAGACCGUGGAAUGUGAGGGAGGAGGGCGGCAGGGAAGCGGAUUUCGCCUUGGCAACUCCGCCGCUUCGGUGGCUCCCCUCGCGCUCCCUCGUAGCUCCCUCACUUUCGACUGUCACCGUGCACCCCCGCCGCCGUGCAGGCGCCGCCGCUACAGCCAGCCCGGCGUCAGCUCCCCGAAGUUUCGUUUUCUGCCGUUAUUGGGAAGGGGGCGUUUGCCGGCGUGGGUAGUUUCGUUGGCUGGCCUGGGACAGCGCCGCUGCUUCCCUCUGCGCCAUAGCCGCAGCGUGCAAGGUCAACACAUGACUAGAAAGUAGAGGAAGCAUAAAGGAGAAAAAAGGGUUCACUGCCAUUUUCUACGCAUGGCUGAGACGUCAGCACGUACAGGCAUGUUCCGGCGCAACACAGAAUUGGCGACCUUGCCAUGUGAGAGAGGGUGAAAUGUCCACCGCGUUUUUUUUUUCGUUUUUUUUUGUUUGUUCGCGCCCGACAUUGAGGGGUCUCCCCUAAGCUUUUACUCUAUGGCGGUGCCGGAGCAAUGCCGGUCGGAGGCGCCGCUGCGUUAUUGAUUUGAAUUAACGAGAUUCGACUGUACAUUGAAUGCAAACGUUCUAGCCGCAUGCCUCGACUGUCGCAUACACGUGGCGGCUCGAUGCACAUGUUUUGCAUAUGUGCGGGCCUUAAAAAUUGUUGCUUUGGUUAUAGUGCGGUACCGCUUAUAGUGCGGAUAUUCGCGACUCCGGCGACUUACGUUAUAAGCGGUCUACACUGUAUAUUCCACAGGCAAUUUUAAAAAUUUAGGUGCAGCUAAAAAAAUCUUUGUAUUUAGAGGGGAUAUAGGGCUGAAAGGUCAACUUUCGAACCAUUUAACCUAUUUUAAUUGAAUUUUCCAAAACUUUCAUCAAUCUGGCACAAAGUAAGUUAUGGUCAUUGUAUUAAGCAUGAGUGUUAUCAGCUUACAAAAGCAUUUCAAAACUAUAGCACUUUUUUUUAAGUGAUACCUUCUAGGUGCCAUAUAAUGCAGGAUAAGGGCAGCCAAUUCUUUUUUUUUAUUUAAGAACUGUAAACUGUAAAAAUCCCAUCACUUAAAAACCAAGUUUUUUUCCUUUUGUUUGUUUUGUCACCAUAUGUCCAAUACCUGAUAUUUUCAUUACCAGAAAUUUAAUUUAGGUGAGAAAUACCUUCUCUUGUUUCUGACAUAAUUUCACUUGAGAAGCCACCUUAACAGCAGAGCAGCUUUCGGUAAAGGAGAACCAAUUAAAAGAUAGCAGAACAUACUACUUUUUUGGUGGGAGCAAUUGGUUGAAGGCCCCUAGUCUACUGACCCCUUUCACGGUGAUUCCACGGGUGCUGCCAUCUUUGAUCACGUGGUGACGCGUCCAUUUCUUGCCUCAACUGCCUCCGUGUUUACAAUGGAUGUACCUGACGCCAGUGCGGCUUAGCAAACCUGUUUCGGGAGAUGUCGUAGACGGUGACUGGGUGGACGACACGAAGCUUUGGCCGCAGUUUCAGAGAAUAUGCAAAAGCGCUUUAGGAGCUGAUUAAGCUACGUCCAAGCAGCGCGAGCAGUGUAUAUGGUGCUUGCUCUAAAAGCGGGGCUAUUUAUUCGAAGCUAUCCAAACUUUCCGCUCAUAAAUUGAAUCAGGAUUAGUGUGUUUUGCUCUUCGUUGUUUAUAUGGCAAAUAUUUUGAAGGAGCGGCUUGUCAUGUUUCUGACUCAGUAAGUUGCUCGGUGCGGUCACUAUCGGAUUAGUUUCUGCCUAAUUGCCCGUGGGUGUGCUCAGUUCCAAUAGAUUUGUACUUGCUGAGUACACGGCUUGAAAGGUAGCUACUUUGCACAUUGUAAUACCUUGCAGUGAAGAUGUAUUAUUGCUUACUUUUGUACCUACUAUGACAGGAAGUGGCGCUACUCCCUUUAUCAUUGUUUAACGAGCAGUACUUACUCUUUCCGACGUACCGGAGCUGAAGCCCUUUCUUUGAAGGUUAGCGAUAUAACGCUAGCGGAUGAGCAAAUUUCUGUAUACUCAAAGAAAGCCGUACAUCUCGAAGUUCACAGUUGCAGCAGCGGUUCGCGAACUUAGCCACACAUACUCAUAACAUUCCUUAAUAUGCCCGUCACUAUUUCUGCAGCCAACUAGUGCACAUGUCUUCAACCCACAGGAUUCAAUCCAGCAUGAUUGGAGCUCAGUGCGUUAGCAAAGCUCAGUUGCAUUUCCGACAGCUGAUCGCACAGAAGCAAGGUAGAAGCAGAAAAGGCUUCGUAUUCAUGUGCGGUCACUGAGAUCACGUAGGGCACACCGCUGAAAGCGCCAUCCCGUUUCCCUUGAACAAAGUGCUCCGCAAUAAAUGUCAAUAAGCUGGGCCCCGUUCUACACAACACUGCUCGGUGGCACUCACUUCAACUUGUCCUUUUUUCCUGGUUUAGAAAUUACCCUUGUUUGUGCUUGUGAGCUGUUUCCCUUAGUUGCUUGCUCGAUGUUUACAGAGAAAACAAGCGUCUGUUCAUUUAAAAAGAUCACAAAACUGUAUUACUUGAAUAAAAACAUGCUGGAAUUUCACUUAUAUAAUUCGUUAUUCGGGCUGCUCACUGGAUGAGACCUAUGCUGUCUGUGCUUCAGAGCUGACUGCCUCUCCUGUUUCUUCUGCUCCGCUCCUCGACAG